UAUUGGACAAUGGGGGAAACCUGGAUCCAGCAAUGCCGCGUGAGUGAAGAAGGCCUUAGGGUUGUAAAGCUCUUUCGCCCGUGACGAUGAUGACGGUAACGGGAGAAGAAGCCCCGGCUAAUUCCGUGCCAGCAGCCGCGGUAAUACGGAAGGGGCUAGCGUUGUUCGGAUUUACUGGGCGUAAAGCGCAUGUAGGCGGCGGAUCAAGUGGGGCGUGAAAGGCCUGGGCUCAACCUGGGAACUGCGCUUCAGACUGGUUCGCUCGAGUUCGGGAGAGGGUGGUGGAAUUCCCAGUGUAGAGGUGAAAUUCGUAGAUAUUGGGAGGAACACCGGUGGCGAAGGCGGCCACCUGGCCCGAGACUGACGCUCAAGUGCGAAAGCGUGGGGAGCAAACAGGAUUAGAUACCCUGGUAGUCCACGCUGUAAACGAUGGGUGCUAGAUGUCGGGGGGCUUGCUCUUCGGUGUCGCAGCUAACGCGUUAAGCACCCCGCCUGGGGAGUACGGCCGCAAGGUUAAAACUCAAAGGAAUUGACGG
rnacentral:rRNA from 1 species